UCAUGUCGAUGGGAUACCCUGCCAUAAUAGAAGCUAUUAGUAGAGUCUGAGAAAGAGGAAGGGUGUUGUCACAUGUUGUGGGGUCCAACCUGGUACAUACAAAGGUCUCCCAUCCCCGUUCUUCAAAGUUUAAUGUCCGUCUCAAGAUUUUCACUCCAUCGAUCAUCCAGUCGGGGGUGGUACCUGAGAUUACCAGGUACUGUGCUACCUAGGGACGAACCUCCUCACUUAUCUCUAUUUUCUCCAUGUACAAGGUUUCAUCCUCCUCAUUGAAGCCAAGGUAUUCAUUGAGGUACUUCCCUUCAUACAACACUAUUAGAUUCCGAACCUUGGUCACUUUGGAGCCCUUUUUGAUGUGGCUACUCUAGCCCUUUUUGAUUGUGGGCUACUUUACUUCCGUUGGCAUCUACACACUCCUCCAUAAAAUGUACCAAGCCUACUCUAGUCCUAAAUUAUCUUUGCACAUUGGGGUUUUGGGGUAAUAUGUCUCUAUAAAUGAAUCUCCUUUCCAGAAUCAACUUUCUCACUGGCCGCCACUCCCUAAAUAUUUGGUAUGCCACCUCACUCACAAACCUAUCUCCCCAAACCUCCGGGUUCCUCGUUCUAUCUACACCCCAACCCUUGGUUCACCUCCUACAGCUACCUCAUCAUCUCUCUCUACUUCCUCCUCUUCUACUUGUACUUCCACCUCUUCUCCUUCUACCCCCUCUCUGGAUAAUGAAGUUGUGAGGGAGGUAGGGUAUUCUUCACUACCCGUUGUCCAGAUCUUAUACGACCUAGAAGAAAGAUGUGCUUGUGCUUGGGUAGUUGGUGAUGGUGGAGGAGUAGUGUCUGUCAAUAUAUGCCGCUCCAACUAGGCAGGCAUGUACUCUGGCACAGAGUUUGAAGAGAUCUCCCGGGAGGGCUCGUACUCACACCCGAACUGAUCAACUACUAUGUUCGCAGAUUUUAAUAACUUUCUUUUUUUAUAUUUUCUCCAACUUCGGGAAUGAGUUUAAUCAUCUUCUGCUUCAUUCCCCGGGAGGAUUCAGCUCUACCGGGUUGUUUUGAUCCCUUGCCUCGUUGUUUUACCAUUGUAUGCAAACACACUUCAAUCUGUGCGCCCGCACAGGGGCCAGUGUGGACCGCACUAAAUCGACCACGGUCUGCAAAAGUAUGGGUUUCAGAAAACAUAUCCUAUGUAUAUUACCAGUGCGGACUUCAUAAUAUCAACCACGACCCGCACAGACUGUAUCUAGGCAAUGCGGAACGCACAAAAUGCGCCGCGGCCGCACUGCCCAAAGUUUAGCUUCUUAGCAUUCAUCAGUGCGGUCCGCACAAAAUAAGUUUAGCUUCCCAGCAUUCAUCAGGAUGUCCAUCGAAAUUUUCUUGUCCUUUGUAAAUGGCAUACACAUAAAAUGGCACAGUAUAUUGUGUCUACUUUUUCUUUUGGUUGAUGCACAUUUUAUUUGCUCUAUUGGUUAGAAAGCAAUUCUUUCUUUAGUGGUGUUGCUCGAUCUCCUGCAAAAGCACUUCAACUUUUCCAUAGAAGUUUUUUUUUUCUAAAAAUGUAUUUCUUUAUGAUUUUCACUGUUAGAUACUUUCUUACAAUUAAAUAGAUUGUGACAUGAUAGUUAUGGAUGUAUGAAGCACCUACUCAUUAUCACGAAUAGUUAAGAUACUUAUCCAAGGAGAGAGGUCCAGGAAUAACCUAAUAGCUGAAUUGAAAAUAGCAUGGUAAAGUAUCGUAUGUUGAAGCUACCGUAAACAAUUGCUGGUGUUCGUGAAAUUCAAAGGAUCUACCUUAACUUGUUGAUAUGGAAAUCAGGUCAUGUAAAAUUGGAUCAUGCAUAUUUUAAUUGAGUCAUAAUUUAUUAGAUUAAAUUACAAAUAAAUAAUAAAUGGUAGAAGAAGAGAAUAUUACCAAAGAGCGUUCUUUUCCGAUAACUAUGAUUUUUUGAAUAAGGUAGUGAAGGUCGGAUGACUUUUUGUCAAAACUCCAAAUUAUCUCCGUAGAAAUUCGUGACGAUACGUAGUCUCUACAACUAGGUAAGCACACUAAAUUUAAUUGAAGAAUUCAACAAUCAAAUGAUAAAUAUGAAAUAGAAAUCUUUAUACACAACUUAUCACCAAAGAUGGUAAUACAAGUCAUAAGCUUUACUGAGUUUGCUUGAAAAUCCCUAACUACAACUGUUCGAAAAAGAAAAUGGUACAAGUACAAUAUUAAAAGGUAACUCCGAGACAUGCGAACAUGAUGGAAGAUUUACCUUGAGUUUCCACAGUAAUGCCUGACCAGCUAGUUAACAAUCAAAAAUAACACAGGCACCUGGAUCUGCACAAAAAUGUACAGCAGCAUAGUAUGAGUACACCACAGUGGUACCCAUUGAGUAUCAAGAGUCAAGACUAACCCCGAUAAAGUAGUGAUUAGGGAAAAUAAAGACACAUACUGUACUAGACAAUCGGAACAAAUAUGAAGCUGAACUAACAGAGAGACAAUCUUAAUAUGAAGCUGAGUAGGAUAAGGAAUAUGAAACAACACUUGCAACUUAAACUUUCCAAUUUCACCGAAAUGCUUCAAAUUACCUUGCGGGCCUCAAUACUCAAUUCGGAUGCAUGCCUAAGUCCAAAAUAACCAUAUGAAGUUACUGAAAUCAUCAAAAUAUCAAUUCGGAGUCGUCUACACAAUCGUCAAAUUUCUGGUCAACUCUUACCGCUCAAGCUUCUAAUCUAAAUUGCCUGAAUCAUCCAAAAAAGUUAACUCGUCCAUACAUGUAAGUCAUAACACAUAAUACGAAUGCUCGAGACAUUAAGCCGCCAAACAGGAUGCUAGUUCUAAAAAUAACCGGUCGGGUCGUUACAUGCUCCCUCGCGUAGACAAAUAUUCAUCCUCGAACAUGCUAAGAAUCGCCCCGAAGUUAUCAAUUCACUAAAUGUUUUCACCCUAGAUACAACCACAGAUGAACCCACGUCAUCCCAAUCCACAUAGGUCCGACAACACCAACUCAGCUGAAGAUUAUUCACUCCACCCACACUAAUAGGCCUUUGAAGCGUAGAUGAUACUAGGUUGAAAUUCAGCGGCGACUGGGUGCCCUAUUCAUGAGAGAACAAUCGGGUUGCAUCGCUCCGACUAGUUUGCCAAAUCUCCUUGUAGGACCACGUCAAGAAAGUUCCGUCAAUGAACCUUAGCUUAUUUUUUACCUGCAGCGCUUGAUGUAUUGACCGGCUGCAUAAAGCAAAAUUUCUGGGCCUGUAAGAUUGAUACCAACCAACAGUAUACCAAAAACGUAUGUAGCUAGUUUUCCAACUGAUUCUCCCAGGGUUGUUGAAACCCUAGAUUUCGAAGUUCAACAUUGGUUUCCUAAUAGUCUUUAAAUCAUUUGCUCUGAUCCAGAAUCGAUCGCGCUGAUACCAUGAUUGAAUAUAUUAUUUAAUCCAUUUCAUCUUUUGAUAAGAAUCGAGAUACAGAAUUGAGAAGGUGUAAAGAGCAGGAAACGAAAGAGGAACUCAAAUCGUAUUUCUCAAUCUCUAUUCUUACUUACA
rnacentral:lncRNA from 1 species